GUGCUCCUAUGACUUAAUUGGUACAGCAUGGAACUAGAAAUGCCACGGUUGUGGGUUUGAUUCCCAGGGAACACA